CACACACACAACGCAUCCCCUCCACCAGACACACACGACAAUACAACCACGUGACUCUGCGUUACACAUAAUUACACACACACAUAUAUAUAGAACGAGGUGAAAUCCAGAUCAUACAUACAACCAGGUGAUUCCACGACACGCACACACGCACGCCCGCACACACGCACGCACGCACGCACGUAGUCGGUUACAUCGAACUGCCUCUAUACGUGGACAACGAGACGGGACUAUCUGAUAGACUUACUUGCAUCUGGUGAGAUAUCAUCUACAUUCCAACGAUGAAGCAGCCAACUCUCCUUCUCAUCACUCUAUGCACUCUACUCGUUGUACUGGGUGAAGCUGAAGGCAAGCGCCCCAAUGCUAUUGCUUUGUGUGGCCAUGUGAUCCCAGGUUUCACUCAUGUGACACAAGUACUGAGGUGUGCAGAGAGGUUUGGCUGCUGGACGGUCACACCGUGUGACGCCUAAACCUCGCCAUGCCCACAUAAUACCCAUGCAUUUUUACGCUGUGUGGACGCGGCGCGCCGUAUGCAAGAGGCGGAUAAAAAUUGCCGGGGAGUAUGUGAGGACAGGCCUCUGAAGGGUUAGAGUGGCAUCACCGCU